UGGGAUAAAUUCAAACCUGCAAAACAACAGGACUCAAGCAUUUCGCCAAACACCUCAUGUUUUCCCUUUGAAAAUAAUAAAUUUUUGUGAGGCUUGCUUUAGAUGAUGGUAUUCAAGUGCCACCGAAUUGAGGUUCAAUCCUUGACACUUAAUACCUUCAUCUAAACCAGCAUAACAAAAAUUUAAUAUUUUCAAAGGAGAAACAUGAGGUGCUUGCGAAAUGCUUGAGUCCUGUUGUUUGACAAGUUUGAAUUACCU
rnacentral:pre_miRNA from 1 species